CUUACACAUGCAAGUCGAACGAUGAACCGCUUUCGGGCGGGGAUUAGUGGCGAACGGGUGAGUAACACGUGGGCAAUCUGCCCUGCACUCUGGGACAAGCCCUGGAAACGGGGUCUAAUACCGGAUAUGACUGUCCAUCGCAUGGUGGAUGGUGUAAAGCUCCGGCGGUGCAGGAUGAGCCCGCGGCCUAUCAGCUUGUUGGUGAGGUAGUGGCUCACCAAGGCGACGACGGGUAGCCGGCCUGAGAGGGCGACCGGCCACACUGGGACUGAGACACGGCCCAGACUCCUACGGGAGGCAGCAGUGGGGAAUAUUGCACAAUGGGCGAAAGCCUGAUGCAGCGACGCCGCGUGAGGGAUGACGGCCUUCGGGUUGUAAACCUCUUUCAGCAGGGAAGAAGCGAAAGUGACGGUACCUGCAGAAGAAGCGCCGGCUAACUACGUGCCAGCAGCCGCGGUAAUACGUAGGGCGCAAGCGUUGUCCGGAAUUAUUGGGCGUAAAGAGCUCGUAGGCGGCUUGUCACGUCGGUUGUGA
rnacentral:rRNA from 1 species